rnacentral:rRNA from 1 species
ACAUGCAAGUCGAGCGGAAACGAUGGUAGCUUGCUACCAGGCGUCGAGCGGCGGACGGGUGAAUAACGCGUGAGAAUCUGCCCAUUUGUGGGGGAUAACUCGGGGAAACUCGAGCUAAUACCGCAUAAUCCCUACGGGGGAAAACAGGGGACCUUCGGGCCUUGUGCAGAUGGAUGAGCUCGCGUCGGAUUAGCUUGUUGGUGAGGUAAAGGCUCACCAAGGCGACGAUCCGUAGCUGGUCUGAGAGGAUGAUCAGCCACACCGGGACUGAGACACGGCCCGGACUCCUACGGGAGGCAGCAGUGGGGAAUCUUGGACAAUGGGGGCAACCCUGAUCCAGCCAUGCCGCGUGUGUGAAGAAGGCCUUCGGGUUGUAAAGCACUUUCAGUAGGGAGGAAGGCUUACCGCUAAUAACGGUGAGUACUUGACGUUACCUACAGAAGAAGCACCGGCUAAUUUCGUGCCAGCAGCCGCGGUAAUACGAAAGGUGCGAGCGUUAAUCGGAAUUACUGGGCGUAAAGCGCGCGUAGGCGGUUUGUUAAGUCAGAUGUGAAAGCCCCGGGCUCAACCUGGGAAUUGCAUUUGAAACUGGCAGGCUAGAGUGCAGUAGAGGGAGGUGGAAUUUCCGGUGUAGCGGUGAAAUGCGUAGAGAUCGGAAGGAACACCAGUGGCGAAGGCGGCCUCCUGGACUGACACUGACGCUGAGGUGCGAAAGCGUGGGGAGCAAACAGGAUUAGAUACCCUGGUAGUCCACGCCGUAAACGAUGUCUACUAGUCGUUGGGAAUCUUAGUAUUCUUGGUGACGAAGUUAACGCGAUAAGUAGACCGCCUGGGGAGUACGGCCGCAAGGUUAAAACUCAAAUGAAUUGACGGGGGCCCGCACAAGCGGUGAGCAUGUGUUUAAUUCGAUGCAACGCGAAGAACCUUACCAGCCUUGACAUCCUUGGAACUUUCUAGAAGAUAGAUUGUGCUUCGGAGCCAAGUGACAGUUGCUGCAUGCUGUCGUCAGCUCGUGUCGUGAGAUGUUGGGUUAAGUCCCGUACGAGCGCAACCCUUGUCCCUAGUGCAGCACUUCGUGACUCUAGAGACUGCCGUUGACAAACGGAAGAGUUGGGACGACGUCAAGUCUACUAUGGCUUA